CGGGGUGGGAGUGGCGGAGGGACGGCAGGGAGAGACCCGGUAACGACAGCGGCCCCGUGUGGAGCGGAGCGGUAAUGUGUUAUAACAGCGGGUCUCAUUCACAGAGAAGGACGUCAGGGAAUCAAAGCAAAUGAAGGACUUGCCUUCCAUGUGCUGUGCUACCACAACAAAACACCCCCGAGCCUUGCAGCCACUUGGCAAAGCACGCGUGCAUUCCCUCGUGCUGUUGUCAGCCUCAGAAUUACACUGCGUGCUGCUGUACUUGUGGUUUUGGCACAUGAUGGAAGUUCAAUCAAAUGGAAAAGGGAGGGUCUCUGCAACUGCUGUGUUCAGAAGACAGGAAAUAAAAAACUGGAUAAAGAAGCCUGACUUUAUCAAUAUUUCACAAGGGAAAUGAUGCAACACAAGUUUACCCUCAUGAGAACUCAGCCAUUUCCUAUUGCUUUGUGUGUGAAUGACAUAUGGGAAAGGUUCUAAGUUUCUAAAGUUUCACUUCUGGCCUCAGAACCCCCCAUUUCAGUUUGGAUUGGUGACUGCAGACAACAUUGUAUUUUGGGACAGACUGAAGCACGGUCUACUUAUAACUGCUUACAUCUGAUUUGUGUGAUAUACACAGUUCCCAAUGUUGUAAAUGUUAGUGAUACCUUUG